rnacentral:tRNA from 1 species
ACCGAAAUAGCUCAGUUGGGAGAGCGUUAGACUAUAGAUCGAAAGGUCCCUGGUUCGAUCCCAGGAAUCGACA